rnacentral:rRNA from 1 species
UACGUAGGGUGCGAGCGUUGUCCGGAAUUACUGGGCGUAAAGCGCACGUAGGCGGCUUUCUAAGUCGGAGGUGAAAUCCUGGAGCUCAACUCCAGAACUGCCUUCGAUACUGGAGAGCUUGAGUCCGGGAGAGGUGAGUGGAACUGCGAGUGUAGAGGUGAAAUUCGUAGAUAUUCGCAAGAACACCAGUGGCGAAGGCGGCUCACUGGCCCGGUACUGACGCUGAGGUGCGAAAGCGUGGGGAGCAAACAGG